rnacentral:rRNA from 1 species
UACAGAGACUGCAAGCGUUAUUCGGAUUCACUGGGCGUAAAGCGUGCGCAGGCGGUUCGCUAAGUCAGAUGUGAAAUCCCCGGGCUUAACCUGGGAACUGCAUUUGUGACUGGCGGGCUAGAGUAUGGCAGAGGGGGGUAGAAUUCCACGUGUAGCAGUGAAAUGCGUAGAGAUGUGGAGGAAUACCGAUGGCGAAGGCAGCCCCCUGGGCCAAUACUGACGCUCAUGCACGAAAGCGUGGGGAGCAAACAGG